rnacentral:rRNA from 1 species
GAUGAACGCUAGCUACAGGCUUAACACAUGCAAGUCGAGGGGCAGCAUGGACAUAGCUUGCUAUGUUUGGUGGCGACCGGCGCACGGGUGCGUAACACGUAUCCAAUCUGCCCGUUACUCGGGGAUAGCCUUCUGAAAGGAAGAUUAAUACCCGAUGGCAUGUAUUUCCGGAAUCGGACAUACAUUAAAGUUUUAUCGGUAACGGAUGAGGAUGAGUACGAUUAGCUUGUUGGCGGGGUAACGGCCCACCAAGGCGACGAUCGUUAGGGGUUCUGAGAGGAAGGUCCCCCACACUGGAACUGAGACACGGUCCAGACUCCUACGGGAGGCAGCAGUGAGGAAUAUUGGUCAAUGGUCGGAAGACUGAACCAGCCAAGUAGCGUGAAGGAUGACUGCCCUACGGGUUGUAAACUUCUUUUGUUUGGGAAUAAAAGACGCUACGUGUAGCGUUCUGCAUGUACCUUACGAAUAAGCAUCGGCUAAUUCCGUGCCAGCCGCCGCAGUAAUAC